GCACAGCUGGAAAAGAGAAGUAAAGCCAGAAAGCGAAAGGAAAAAAAAAAGCAGACAAGAAGUUAGACAAAGGCAAAAGUUGAAGACUAAGAAUGAAACAAGGAAAGAUGCAUAAGCAGAGAAAUUAAGAGAGACAUGGAAACAGGGAUGCGGAGAGGUGAAGUGACUUCCCCAAAGCCAUCUAACAAGCCAAAAGAAGAGCCACCUUCAUUCACUGAAAAAAUCACAACAGUUCUUGAGCCACUCAAGAAAACCUCGUCCCUGUGCUGAGAUGACUUGGUCUGAUGUAUGACGAAAUCAGAUUUGUUGCCAAGAAUCAAAUCUACAGAUUGUGACCACUGAUGCUGAAUUCAACUGGAUAAUCCAUCCCCCACAAAAACUUAAGUUCCUGUGGGUGCAUCUACACAGCAAAAAAAGACCCAUGGCAGAGAAUCUCAGAGCCUGACUUGGUUUUGCUCUGCAAGGCUAAAAAGAGCAGCGUAGACUUUCAGGCUCAGGAUGGAGCCUGGGCUCCGAAUCCCAGAAAGUGGGGAGAGAGCCUAGGCACCAGCCCACGCCCAAACAGCUGUUUAGCACUGUAGCAGGAGCCCGAAUCAGUUGACCCGGCUCUGAAACCACAGGAGGAGGUUA